rnacentral:rRNA from 1 species
UACGAAGGGUGCAAACGUUGCUCGGAAUUAUUGGGCGUAAAGAGCUCGUAGGCGGUUUGUCGCGUCGAAUGUGAAAACCCGGGGCUCAACCCCGGGCCUGCAUUCGAUACGGGCAGACUAGAGUUCGGUAGGGGAGUCUGGAAUUCCUGGUGUAGCGGUGAAAUGCGCAGAUAUCAGGAGGAACACCGGUGGCGAAGGCGGGACUCUGGGCCGACACUGACGCUGAGGCGCGAAAGCCAGGGGAGCGAACGGG